rnacentral:rRNA from 1 species
CGGCGAGUGAAGCGGCAACAGCUCAAAUUUGAAAUCUGGCCUUCGGGUCCGAGUUGUAAUUUGUAGAGGAUGCUUUUGGCGCGGUGCCUUCCGAGUUCCCUGGAACGGGACGCCUUAGAGGGUGAGAGCCCCGUACGGUUGGACACCAAGCCUCUGUAAAGCUCCUUCGACGAGUCGAGUAGUUUGGGAAUGCUGCUCUAAAUGGGAGGUAAAUUUCUUCUAAAGCUAAAUAUUGGCCAGAGACCGAUAGCGCACAAGUAGAGUGAUCGAAAGAUGAAAAGCACUUUGAAAAGAGGGUUAAAUAGCACGUGAAAUUGUUGAAAGGGAAGCGUUUGCGACCAGACCUUUUCCUGGCGGAUCAUCCGGUGUUCUCACCGGUGCACUUCGCCAGGUUGAGGCCAGCAUCGGUUUCUGCAGGGGGAUAAAAGCUCUGGGAAUGUAGCUCCUUCGGGAGUGUUAUAGCCCUCUGCAUAAUACCCUUGCGGGGACCGAGGACCGCGCAAGGAUGCUGGCAUAAUGGUCGUCAACGACCCGUCUUGAAACACGGACCAAGGAGUCGAACAUUUGUGCGAGUGUUUGGGUGUCAAACCCUCACGCGUAAUGAAAGUGAACGGAGGUGAGAGCCCUUACGGGUGCAUCAUCGACCGAUCCUGAUGUCUUCGGAUGGAUUUGAGUAAGAGCAUAACUGUUCGGACCCGAAAGAUGGUGAACUAUGCGUGGAUAGGGUGAAGCCAGAGGAAACUCUGGUGGAGGCUCGCAGCGGUUCUGACGUGCAAAUCGAUCGUCAAAUCUGCGCAUGGGGGCGAAAG